rnacentral:miRNA from 1 species
UCGGUUUGCUUCUUUGAUAGAUUC